GGACAUAUCAAAACAUGGCUACAAGGGCUACAAGUUUAUUGGUAGCAUCAUCAGCAGCCUCAAAAGUAUAAAUGAAAAUAACCGGUAGUCACCGUUAAGCAUAGUUCAUUAAUACAUCUAUCACAUAAAAUACGGCAAAAGAUAGGUCAAUUGACAUAUUUUCUGAUCCAUCUUUUAUUAAAUAACUCACCAAUCAGGUUGCAUGAAUAAUG
rnacentral:misc_RNA from 1 species